rnacentral:tRNA from 1 species
AAAGAUUUAGGAUAAACAAACCAAGAGCCUUCAAAGCUCUAAACAGAAGUUUAAACCUUCUAAUCUUU